rnacentral:rRNA from 1 species
GGCUGCAACUCGCCUGUAUGAAGUCGGAUUGCUAGUAAUCGCGGAUCAGCAUGCCGCGGUGAAUACGUUCCCGGGCCUUGUACACACCGCCCGUCACACCAUGAGAGCCGGGAACACCCGAAGUCCGUAGUCUAACCGCAAGGAGGACGCGGCCGAAGGUGGGUUUGGUAAUUGGGGUGAAGUCGUAACAAGGUAAC